rnacentral:rRNA from 1 species
AAUGAACGCUGGCGGCGUGCUUAACACAUGCAAGUCGUACGAGAAAGGGUCUUUCGGGACCUGAGUAGAGUGGCGCACGGGUGAGUAACGCGUGGAUAAUCUGCCCUUCAGUUGGGAAUAACUCAUCGAAAGGUGGGCUAAUACCGAAUAAUGCUGUGAGACUUUGGUCGAUCAGCCAAAGAGAGCCUCUGCUUGCAUGCCCUUGCUGAAGGAUGAGUCCGCGUACCAUUAGCUAGUUGGCAGGGUAAUGGCCUACCAAGGCUACGAUGGUUAGCUGGUCUGAGAGGAUGAUCAGCCACACUGGAACUGAGACACGGUCCAGACUCCUACGGGAGCUG